rnacentral:ncRNA from 1 species
GCAAAGACUUAGAAGAGAAGUAGUAGGAGCGUAUCGUUUUCAGAGAGCUGCCGGAAGGUGCGAGGCAGCAGCGUAAACUCUGAACUGGUCUUGGAGUCCUUUCGGUGAACGCAGAGUAGCCGGAAGCGGGAAUUCCCGUUACAGAAUCAAUGAGUGCAUCGGACUUUGGUCAGAUGAAUGAGAGUGGUACCACGGAAAAUAAGCCUUUUCGUCUCUUGA